UGCAGGGUACACCAUGAUAAUGCGUGGGUCUUCAGCAAGCACAAGGUGUGAUGUGUGUUUGGCGUGUGCUCUUCAAGCCCAACCUUAUCUGUAAGAAAAGGAGAGAGAAAGGGUCCCCCCACAGUCCUCUUAUCAAUACACAUGAAAAUAAUGAGAGAAGAGAGAAUCAGAGACAGUGGGAGAUGGUUCCAACCAUGGUGUCAGCCUGAAUUUCAACGGUCAGACCAAUUCCAAGGUCUUACAUCAAAGGGUGCAAGAUUUUCCAACCAUAACUCUGGGAGUUGACACUGUUUUGAAUACCAAGGAUGCUGAAAAUGCCAAAAAAGUGGAAGAAAAGUUCAUCAUGAGUCCUGCAGUUGUAAAGGCAUGAUAAGUAGUUAUUACUCAUUUUUAUGAUCUCUUUCAGAGACCUCUUUUAUUUAUAAGUAAACAAGAUUAAAUAAAAUAUAAAUACAAAUGUAAACCUAGAUGGUCUGCGUUAGGUGUAUUAUUUUUGUUGGGAUUGAGAGUAGGGGUGUUCAUCGAAUCGAAUUUUCGAUUUUUUCGAAUCGAAUUAUUCGAAUAAUUUUUAUUUUCCCUUAUAUUCAAAUUCGAUUAAAACCUACCCAUAAUUUUUAUUUUUACUUA